UUCAACGAAUCACUGCAAUCUGUUAAAUUGUGAAAUUAUUGUUAUUUAAUUGAAUAUAGAAUUCAGUUACUAAUUAAUCGGAUGUCCUAUAUAUAAUUCAUAUUCAAUAAUAUAACUGGUGAUUUCAGAUUGACAUACGGUGGAUGUAGAGAAACUGUUUGAGAUUAUUAAGAUAGAUAGAAAAUGAAAGUGAGUAGUAUUCUUGUACUGUGCAUCGUUACUUUUAUGUCAGCUCACAGUUUUGCCAAAACAUAUGUCAAUGAACAGAAGCUUAAUUUAGAGACAGUUGAAAAGAGACAGGAAGGUUUAUUUGGUGAUUUUGCUCUUGCAGAAUACUUGUUUAAACUUGGAGAUGUCAACAAAGACAAAUACUUAGACAGCAAUGAAAUUUACAACUUCUAUCGGCAUCAUAUAAAGUUCGACUUCGACAAAUCUGCAAAAAUGUCAAUUAGAUUGAUGAAUAUUGGAGAUUCCGACAAAGAUGGAAGACUCGGUGAAAUAGAGGCAAUUUUAGCUCUACACAAAGUAACAAAUCAGUUAAACAGAAAGCGGAAAUGAGAAUGUAGUGUUACGAAACAGAACAGAUGUGGUCAACUCUUACGCUUUACAAUCAUUUCAUUAUUAAAUGAGUAAAAGUAAAGUUCGUUUUACCAUUUACAACAGUUUCAAAACUUACAUGACUGACUGUUCUGUAUAAACUUAUUCCAAGAUAUAUAUAUAUAAUAUAUAUUUGAUUUCAAAAAUAUAGCUCUUUUAAAGAUGUAAAUAAAUUCAUCAUAGAUACA